rnacentral:rRNA from 1 species
CAAGCUUAACACAUGCAAGUCGAACGGACCGUAUACGCAGCUUGCUGCGUGUAUGGUUAGUGGCAGACGGGUGAGUAAUGCAUAGGAAUCUACCUAGUAGUAUGGGAUAGCCACUAGAAAUGGUGGGUAAUACUGUAUAAUCCCUGCGGGGGAAAGAUUUAUCGCUAUUAGAUGAGCCUAUGUCAGAUUAGCUAGUUGGUGGGGUAAUGGCCUACCAAGGCGGUGAUCUGUAGCUGGUCUGAGAGGAUGAUCAGCCACACUGGAACUGAGACACGGUCCAGACUCCUACGGGAGGCAGCAGUGGGGAAUAUUGGACAAUGGGCGCAAGCCUGAUCCAGCUAUGCCGCGUGAGUGAGGAAGGCCUUAGGGUUGUAAAACUCUU